GUUUGACCGGUAGUGUAUAUAUUAUACAACACACCAUUUCUUUAAGGAAUGGCUCACCCUAAAAUGAAAAAAAAAAGGUUAUUAUUUCACCAUGUCAUUCCAAAGCCCUUUGAUAUUUUUCAGUGGAACACAAAAGGAUACAUUUUUUAUAAUUUUUAUGCACCUCUUUUUCAAUCAAGAUAAAGAAAUUCGGAAUCAAUCCCCCUGAAUCAAUGUUAUGAUGAUAUUCACACAUUCUCUGACAGAAUGAAGAGAAGGAACAGGAAAUGACAAGACACACUACUGUAAAUUCCUAGUAAAAAUGUUUUAUCAAUAAAUGUAAAUGAAUCAAAAAGUAUGUGAGACAAACUAGCUGCUCCCUAUUUGAUUGUGCACUGCUAAUAAUUACACACUAACAUACAGUAGACUGACCUGUAAAUAAACUAAAUAAAUAUAACGUAAUUAUAUUAUAUCAGAGGACAAUGCCCAAACAGUUUGAAUCCAUCACUUUUGCAAUGAGGAAAAUACAUCUUUUGUACACACCCCAAAAUAGUUAACAUAACAAGACUCAUUUUUACAGACCAACACUGUGAACUACUUUCAAGGCAAGUUUCCUAACACAAUCAAGAUCACAACACAGGAUGACACAGUGCUUUGCAAAGGUAUUCAGACCCUUAAAUAGUUCUCUCAUUAUACUAUAGGUACAAAUCCAAUUUUAAAGAAAAUAUGUUUUACAUUUUUAAUAAAAAUAAAAACGGCAUAUUCAAGUCUAGACAUUGAGUAUAUUAUAAAGCUAGCAUUGAAGCAAUUGCAGCUGCAAACCUGGCUCUAUAAAUGUCUUUUGUGGUAUGUACCAGCUUUUCACAGCUGCAUUAGGGUGUAAUUUUGUCCCAUUUUCCCCAGGCAGAUUGAUAUUUCAGGUUAGUCAGUGACUCUUGCACACCAAUGAUUUUCAAAUUGCGCCAGAGAUUCAUAAUUGGACUGAGAUCACGGCUUUGAGGGUGCUAUUGCAGGAAAUUUUCACCUUAGACCUUAGGCCACUCCAUUGUUAAACUGGGCAUGUGCGUAGGAUCAUUUAAUUUAUAAAACUAAUUUAUACUGAAAGAGCAAAAUCUAGGGAUCCGAAUAGCAUAAAAAAUUGUUGGUGGGCUUUUGUGACCUAGGCCAGUUUGCAACCACAUAGCAACAUGCUAAAAAUCACUUAGCAACCUAGCAUCAUAGCGAGUUUUACAUCACUGUAAAAAUCUAAUGCUGAAGUAAUAGCUUGUGCUACUGUGAUAUGUACAACCUUCUCAUUUAUGCAUUUCUUCUCACUUAAUUGUAAAGCGAUUUUACAAUUAAAAAUUUUUUAAAUGUUUUUUCUCUAUUGUCCAUUGGAAUAACAGAAUGAUAACAGAUCUGAAUGAUGAUCCCUUUUUAUUAUUAUUGUUGUUUUUCCCCCCCAGAAAAUGUGGAAGUCAUUUCAAUGAGUCACAGUUAGAGGGCAAUAAUUGUAAAGCAAUUGUGUCCUUGUUAGUGGGAUUGUUACUUUUGGAAAGCACUGUAUAUUUGAAUCAGAGUAGAUUGCACUAACAAUGGAGGGAAACACUCAGCAAAUCAUCUCACAUCUGAUUGCAGUGAAUGUCCAAAACCUUAAUUGUGUGAGGACAAAAGCAAAAAGAAAAAAAAGAAAGAAAAA